rnacentral:rRNA from 1 species
GACGAACGCUGGCGGCGUGCCUAAUACAUGCAAGUAGAACGCUGAAGAGAGGAGCUUGCUCUUCUUGGAUGAGUUGCGAACGGGUGAGUAACGCGUAGGUAACCUGCCUUGUAGCGGGGGAUAACUAUUGGAAACGAUAGCUAAUACCGCAUAACAAUGGAUGACACAUGUCAUUUAUUUGAAAGGGGCAAUUGCUCCACUACAAGAUGGACCUGCGUUGUAUUAGCUAGUAGGUGAGGUGACGGCUCACCUAGGCGACGAUACAUAGCCGACCUGAGAGGGUGAUCGGCCACACUGGGACUGAGACACGGCCCAGACUCCUACGGGAGGCAGCAGUAGGGAAUCUUCGGCAAUGGGGGCAACCCUGACCGAGCAACGCCGCGUGAGUGAAGAAGGUUUUCGGAUCGUAAAGCUCUGUUGUAAGUCAAGAACGAGUGUGAGAGUGGAAAGUUCACACUGUGACGGUAGCUUACCAGAAAGGGACGGCUAACUACGUGCCAGCAGCCGCGGUAAUACGUAGGUCCCGAGCGUUGUCCGGAUUUAUUGGGCGUAAAGCGAGCGCAGGCGGUUUGAUAAGUCUGAAGUUAAAGGCUGUGGCUCAACCAUAGUUCGCUUUGGAAACUGUCAAACUUGAGUGCAGAAGGGGAGAGUGGAAUUCCAUGUGUAGCGGUGAAAUGCGUAGAUAUAUGGAGGAACACCGGUGGCGAAAGCGGCUCUCUGGUCUGUAACUGACGCUGAGGCUCGAAAGCGUGGGGAGCGAACAGG